rnacentral:rRNA from 1 species
AGUGAACGCUGGCGGUAGGCCUAACACAUGCAAGUCGAACGGCAGCACAGUAAGAGCUUGUUCUUACGGGUGGCGAGUGGCGGACGGGUGAGGAAUACAUCGGAAUCUACUUUUUCGUGGGGGAUAACGUAGGGACACUUACGCUAAUACCGCAUACGACCUACGGGUGAAAGCAGGGGAUCUUCGGCCCUUGCGCGAUUGAAUGAGCCGAUGUCGGAUUAGCUAGUUGGCGGGGUAAAGGCCCACCAAGGCGACGAUCCGUAGCUGGUCUGAGAGGAUGAUCAGCCACACUGGAACUGAGACACGGUCCAGACUCCUACGGGAGGCAGCAGUGGGGAAUAUUGGACAAUGGGCGCAAGCCUGAUCCAGCCAUGCCGCGUGGGUGAAGAAGGCCUUCGGGUUGUAAAGCCCUUUUAUUGGGGAAGAAAAGCAGCAGGUUAAUACCCCGCUGUUCUGACGGUACCCAAAGAAUAAGCACCGGCUAACUUCGUG